CAAAGGUAGCCUGACGCACCUUGUGGUCCUCAAGUUAACAACUGUGAUGUGUGGAGAUGCCCCUUGCCUUGCGUGUGAACUGUUCCACGUUGUCCUAUGGGCAUGCCAGGCAAACUUACCAUUCCCAAAGCAUUGCAUGCUGCUAUUACAACUCUUCCCCUGCUCCAUCCUGGGAACUGCACAGCUACGCAGAGCCUCUCUCCAGAACAGUCAUGCUCAUGGUUAUGAUCUUCAGCCUGAAAGUCAUCUCAAGGAUUUAACGCAAGGCCUUUUCCACUAAGCUGCUGGAGUGGUACAGUUAGAUCUUGGUGUUCAAGAAGGCUGUGUUCCCUACAGUGACGAUGGGGACUCUAAGUCCCACUCUUACCUCAUUAACUUUGGCCAGUGAUGGUUGUGUUAGUGAAGGGGCUGCCUCAUCAUAUGGCUCAUAAGUGGCUGCUUCUUGCCCCUCUUCUUGAAACAGGGAUGGGUGUCCUCCGUCUCCAUGCAUGGGGAAAAUGACUCCAGUGGUCUAUAGCACCUCCUGCGAAUUGCUGUAUUUGUCAGGACUUGCCACCGUUCUGAAGCCUGCAGUGUGGUGGUCUUCUUUCUGUCCUGUGACACAGACGUCAAUGGACUGCCUAUUCCGCCCUCAUAAAGGAAGCUUGUUUUACAGAGGACAUGAUGCAAAGAGCCUGCAAGCUUGAGAUAUCUGGAUGUCUUCCAAUUUCUAUUCCCAGAAGUCUUGUUCUAACAAACACUAUUGAAUAUGCACACUGUGCAAGGGAGCGCAGAGAGAGACUCAGCAGGAGAUGGGAUUGUACAAAACAUCGUCAGUCUUGGAGCAGCACGAUUGUAUAGCCUGCCUUAGAUCCUUUAAAUCAAUCUGGAGUGAUUCCUUGUUUGGGGAAUCUCUUUACCUGGAAAAAACAAACUGAUUUUAUAUAUAUGAUCAGACACUCUUGAAUUUAGAGGGUUAUUUUCCGGUCCUCCUGUGGUCAUGCAUAUGGAUUUCAGGGUGCAUCCAGGUAGGAAUAUUCAACUUACAUGAGAGUCAGCUGAUAUUAGGAGCUCCCCAACAGUCUUUCUGGAUAGUCUUCAUUUGUCAAUCUAGCACCAAGAAAAAUGAGUAAAACUUACUUUCUCCUUCCUCCAUCUGAGUUCACAGCAGUCAAUAGUCCCCAAAUUGCUCAAGACUGUCAUUGCUUCCCUUAUUUAUUUAUUUUUUUAUUUUAGGUUUAGGCACACAAAUCCACUUUGGAGAAUGACUAUACCAGAGCCAAGUAGUGAAGUUUCCUGAAGAAAGUUCUGUGGUGGGAGAAGGAACUAGAAAAAAAUUCCCUCUGCUUUCACUAGCCUAGAUUAGCUAUUGACAAGCUCAACAGAGCCAUUGGCCUCCAGCUGGCUCUGUCCUGCUUCUUUUAAUAUCCUCAAACCGCUGCAUGUGGAGCCAGGCUGCUGGGAAUAUGGUAAGAAAAGCCAAUGCACACCAUGGGAGAGGUUAAAGAACCACCUUGAAAAAUAGGCAAAUUAGAAAAAUAAACCAUAGCAAUAUCAACGAGCA
rnacentral:lncRNA from 1 species